rnacentral:rRNA from 1 species
GACGUAGGGCGCAAGCGUUGUCCGGAUUUAUUGGGCGUAAAGAGCUCGUAGGCGGCUUGUUGCGUCGGCCGUGAAAACCCGUGGCUCAACUGCGGGCUUGCGGACGAUACGGGCAGGCUGGAGUUCGGUAGGGGAGACUGGAAUUCCUGGUGUAGCGGUGAAAUGCGCAGAUAUCAGGAGGAACACCGGUGGUGUAGACGGCUCACUGGACCGUAACUGACGCUGAGACACGAAAGCGUGGGUAGCAAACAGG